UACGGGGGGGGCAAGCGUUGUUCGGAAUUACUGGGCGUAAAGGGCGCGUAGGCGGCCCGCUAAGUCAGACGUGAAAUCCCUCGGCUCAACCGGGGAACUGCGUCUGAUACCGGCAGGCUUGAAUCCGGGAGAGGGAUGUGGAAUUCCAGGUGUAGCGGUGAAAUGCGUAGAUAUUGGGAGGAACACCAGUGGCGAAGGCGGCUCACUGGACCGGAACUGACGCUGAGGCGCGAAAGCGUGGGGAGCAAACGGG
rnacentral:rRNA from 1 species